CAGCCGCUCCAGGACUCGCCUUCAGCCUGAGACCACGCCCCUCCCCAGGGUACCCACAUCCAACGUCUGGUUGAUGUGGACAUCUAAAGACCCUGUCCCCUUGUCCCAACGGAGGACAGCUCGGAAGGGCUGUCCCAGCUUUAGAGCUCUGCUGAGACCUCUCUUGCAACUGGAUCACCGCUGGGCGUCUCCCUCUGCCGCAUCCUGGCGCUCUCAUUCCUCACGGGUGGGGUCCGCGAGAGCUCUCCCCAGAAGCCACCGGCACGCGAAGCUCUGUCUCUGGGUCUGUUUCCCAGGGAGCCCCGCCAAAGACGGGGACCAAUUAGAAGAACCAUAAAAAUAGUGUAGGCUACUGUGUGGUGACAAGUCCAUUCUCCAGAGAUGACUCCAAGGGCCCUACCCCAGGUCACACAGCUGCGUCUCCUUCCUGACAGAUCUGCUCCCACCCCACCUGCAAACCCAGAGCAGCAAGUCUGUAAGGGCCUGAGGGAUGUGCAAAGGCAGGAAGGAAAUCAGCAGGACCGGAAGUCGAGAACCUUCACUCCGGGUGCUGUGCGCCUUCGAGGCUUUGGUCGGAAUGGCGUGGGACUGUGUUUUUAGGCCUCUGACACUGCACAGCGCUUGUAGUUGGAAGGUCUGGUCAUUGUCAUUCAAGUCAUCCCGUCCUGAGCGUCGCUGCCAGCCUCAUCUCUGCUAGGUCUCCAAGUUCCUAGUCAUCACAAAGCCCCAGCUUUGCACACUUCCGAAACCCCGACCAGGAGCAGUGACCCAAAACAGUGAAACUGCCCACAUUCUAAAUUUGAAAAGUUGCACCCUCUGGGUCUGAGGCCUCCUGCUCCGGAGCCUUCUCACUUGCUGGCUUCGUGGUCACAGCAGGCGGCUUUCCCUCGCUCUCUCCCUCGCUCGUGUGUUUGUUCAUUGGACCUCUCUGCUGCUGCUGGCCGGGGCUAAAUGCUGAGAUACUGAGAUGAAGAUGACAGAGACCCUGCUCUCAAAUGGCUCACGGCCAGGUCGGGGAGGCAGACAGCUAACUGACCCACUUCCUAAUGGUUCAGUCUGAACAGUUUUUUUAUCUUCUGGGGGUACAGUGAGCAUCCUAUUUGGGACCAGUUCAGAAAGUUUUGACUGUCACAAAGAAGAGUUUGCUGCGAUGGGCAGUGGGGAGCCAAGGAAGGCUCUUGAGUGGGAGAAUGGCAUGAUUAAAGAAGUUCCCUCUAAUCUGCUGUGAGGAGCAAACGUGGCAGCAGAGAGACCAGUGUGGAGGCUGUAGGUGAGGAUGGCGGUGGAGCUGGACAGAAGCGGACGAUUCAGGACAGACAGUGGAGGUGGCGGAAACACCAGGAACUCCGGAGAGACCUUCACUGAGUUCUGGCGAAACGAGUGAGUUGACUGAGUCCUCUACAUGCCUGGCGCUGUGUGGAGUGUUUCCCCGCAUCGUCUCAUCCAAUCCUCAGAAAUAAUCGUGUGCAGGAAGUGCCGUUACUUUCCUUUCUUUUACAAAUAAAGAACCAAUGCUCAGAGAGGGCAAGUGAUUUGCCCAAGAUCACACAGCCCACAAGUGUCAGAACCAGGAUCCCAGCCCAGACCCGCAGGCUCUGGCGUCUACCCUUGUAACCCUGGCACCUGAGUCUCCCAAACUCCCUUCUGCUCCGAGUGUUGUGUCAUCCGUGCUCUGUCUUCCUUCCUCUGUGUUCUAAAUGGACUCCCCACUCGCCCUUUUUUUUUUUUUUUAACUAAACCUGUUUCUGUACAAAAGAAACCGUAUAUCAUUA